GAUGAACGCUGGCGGCGUGCCUAACACAUGCAAGUCGAACGAAGCGCCUUGAUUUCUUCGGAUUGAAAGGUGACUGAGUGGCGGACGGGUGAGUAACGCGUGGGUAACCUGCCUCAUACAGGGGGAUAACAGUUAGAAAUGACUGCUAAUACCGCAUAAGACCACGGAGCCGCAUGGCUCUGUGGGAAAAACUCCGGUGGUAUGAGAUGGACCCGCGUCUGAUUAGGUAGUUGGUGAGGUAACGGCUCACCAAGGCGACGAUCAGUAGCCGGUCUGAGAGGAUGAACGGCCACAUUGGGACUGAGAUACGGCCCAG
rnacentral:rRNA from 1 species